rnacentral:rRNA from 1 species
GAUGAACGCUGGCGGCGUGCCUAAUACAUGCAAGUCGAGCGAACAGACGAGGAGCUUGCUCCUCUGACGUUAGCGGCGGACGGGUGAGUAACACGUGGAUAACCUACCUAUAAGACUGGGAUAACUUCGGGAAACCGGAGCUAAUACCGGAUAAUAUAUUGAACCGCAUGGUUCAAUAGUGAAAGACGGUUUUGCUGUCACUUAUAGAUGGAUCCGCGCCGCAUUAGCUAGUUGGUAAGGUAACGGCUUACCAAGGCAACGAUGCGUAGCCGACCUGAGAGGGUGAUCGGCCACACUGGAACGGAGACACGGUCCAGACUCCUACGGGAGGCAGCAGUAGGGAAUCUUCCGCAAUGGGCGAAAGCCUGACGGAGCAACGACGCGUGAGUGAUGAAGGUCUUCGGAUCGUAAAACUCUGUUAUUAGGGAAGAACAAAUGUGUAAGUAACUAUGCACGUCUUGACGGUACCUAAUCAGAAAGCCACGGCUAACUACGUG